rnacentral:rRNA from 1 species
AUUGAACGCUGGCGGCAUGCCUUACACAUGCAAGUCGAACGGCAGCACGGGAGCAAUCCUGGUGGCGAGUGGCGAACGGGUGAGUAAUAUAUCGGAACGUGCCCAGUCGUGGGGAUAACGUAGCGAAAGCUACGCUAAUACCGCAUACGAUCUAUGGAUGAAAGCGGGGGAUCGCAAGACCUCGCGCGAUUGGAGCGGCCGAUAUCAGAUUAGGUAGUUGGUGAGGUAAAGGCUCACCAAGCCGACGAUCUGUAGCUGGUCUGAGAGGACGACCAGCCACACUGGGACUGAGACACGGCCCAGACUCCUACGGGAGGCAGCAGUGGGGAAUUUUGGACAAUGGGCGCAAGCCUGAUCCAGCAAUGCCGCGUGCAGGAUGAAGGCUCGG